UACAGAGGGUGCGAGCGUUGUCCGGAAUCACUGGGCGUAAAGGGCGCGUAGGCGGCUUGAUAAGUAGGAGGUGAAAUCUCAUGGCUCAACUGUGAGGCUGCCUUCUAGACUGUCUGGCUUGAGCACAGUAGAGGCGAGUGGAAUUCCCGGUGUAGCGGUGGAAUGCGUAGAGAUCGGGAAGAACAUCGGUGGCGAAGGCGGCUCGCUGGGCUGUUGCUGACGCUGAGGCGCGAAAGCGUGGGGAGCAAACAGG
rnacentral:rRNA from 1 species